CUCCGGCGCAAAGAGAGGCCCAAGUGAGAUUAGCUAGUUGGUAAGGUAACGGCUUACCAAGGCGACGAUCUCUAGCUGUUCUGAGAGGAAGAUCAGCCACACUGGGACUGAGACACGGCCCAGACUCCUACGGGAGGCAGCAGUGGGGAAUAUUGCACAAUGGGGGAAACCCUGAUGCAGCCAUGCCGCGUGUGUGAAGAAGGCCUUCGGGUUGUAAAGCACUUUCAGUUGUGAGGAAAAGUUAGUAGUUAAUACCUGCUAGCCGUGACGUUAACAACAGAAGAAGCACCGGCUAACUCCGUGCCAGCAGCCGCGGUAAUACGGAGGGUGCGAGCGUUAAUCGGAAUUACUGGGCGUAAAGCGCACGCAGGCGGUUUGUUAAGCUAGAUGUGAAGCCCCGGGCUCAACCUGGGAUGGUCAUUUAGAACUGGCAGACUAGAGUCUUGGAGAGGGGAGUGGAAUUCCAGGUGUAGCGGUGAAAUGCGUAGAUAUCUGGAGGAACAUCAGUGGCGAAAGGCGACUCCCUGGCCCAAAGACUGACGCUCAUGUGCGAAAGUGUGGGUAGCGAACAGGAUUAGAUACCC
rnacentral:rRNA from 1 species